CUUCACUUUAACAGGGAGUCUCAUCUCUGAAGAACAGCAUUCUGGAUAUGAAGAUGCUGAUGAACCUUUGUCAGAAUCCAUAACUGAAUAUGAUAAUGAUGUCCCCACCUGCAGUGACAUAAAAGCAGAACAGAAAUUCACACCAGGAUACUAUAAUGAUGUCAUCACUGAUGGACUGUCAGCAGAUCAUCAGACAG